AAUGGCUCAGCGGGUGCGCCAGAUGGAAAAACGUGGUUCUUUCUUCGAUUCCCGCAUCAACAAAACAAAGUUCAAAGUUCAAGGUGCUCUGGAGAAAAAGAAAUAAACGUCGAGCAAGUCCUUGACGUACUUAAGGUCAUGGUGUUAUCACGAGUUUCUAGCAUUGCGAAUGGUUUAAAAAUAGUGGCCCUAUCUCAUCAGUUUUCUACUUGAGACCCAGAUAAAAUGAGAACCUUGGUUUAGUCUCUGCACAAGGAAGAAAUGAUAGCCCCUCACCUUGGAUCGUGUUUUUGAAUAAUUCGCAGGACAUCUAAAAUGUUUAAGCUUAUUUGUCUACUGAUUAUUUAUCUGUCCACAAUGACGUCAUUUGUAAACUCGUUACCAUGCCAAAAAAGGACCAACAUACAAGCGCCACGAGUAUUACGUCUUCUUGAGGAAAAAUACAUUUUCGUGAAGAAAAAGACAAGAAGUGAAAUUCCACUUCUUACAACCACUCCAUUUCCACGACGAAGAACUACUCGAGUUGCAGACGCUUCAAACAUACCGGGAACUACUUAUUGUCCGUGGGUCUGGGAACAGGACGAUGAUCCCGAACGUGUCCCGCGGAUAUUAGUAAAAGCUAAGUGUCCUGGAUGUAAACAUUUUUGUAAACCUGUACACUACCACCACACGGUUCUAAUAGCAAAAUGCGACAAAACUACAGGUCACAAAGUAUGGAAGUGGAGGGAGAGAAAACUUGCCGUGGCAUAUGUUUAUGAACCUUACGAUUGACGGGAAUUCCUUGUGGCUGUGUGGAUCGUCCUUCUUCCUAAACUUUUAGAUUGUUGUAAUUUCAUAUGAAAAAUAUAUUUUUAUGGGAUAUUCAUUAUUUAUUUUGAGAAAACCUCGAAAAAGGCUGAAGCUAAACCAAAGUGCAAACUCAUUCCACAAAAACAAAGAAAAAAAUAAUUUGAGAUGUUGUGUCAACAUCUCUCCAGGAGGGACAUGCUGUAUUUUUAACCACUGAGCCUCUUCCGUACCUUCUCUUUCUCAACAAAUGUUUUAAAUACAAUUUUAUUAUUUAUGUUGAACAAUCAAAAUUAACCUGAAUUUAGACAGAGCGGUGUAUUUUCCAGAUACAUUUUAGGUUGUAGCAGAAUACUUAUUCAUUGUAACUCAAACGAAAUUAUUAAGCCUUAGGUCCUUAGGUUUCUGCAUGCAGUAAAUGUCUGAGCUUGUUUUACUUCACUGAGUUUUCGACAAUUUGAUCGUCCGAUUUAGAAAGUGUCCUAUGGAAGCUUAUGUUGCACAUGUAAUUGUGACCUUCGCACUCGCACAGCACGCAUAACUAUGCAAUUAGCAUAAGCACGAGCACCGCGCUUUGUAGAAAUUAUAAUAAUUCCGUAAUGAAUAAAGGUUUUCAGUUUUAACAUGGAA
rnacentral:misc_RNA from 1 species